UUCGAAAUGAUCUUUAAAAGUGGGGGAAAGGAGAUUUUUCGGAGAUUUUUUGGAGCC
rnacentral:pre_miRNA from 1 species